rnacentral:rRNA from 1 species
AGAGUUUGAUCAUGGCUCAGAAUCAACGCUGGCGGCGUGCUUAACACAUGCAAGUCGCGUGCGCAGUUUUCUGUAGCAAUACAGGAGAUGGGCGCACGGCGCACGGGUGCGUAACACGUGGGCAAUCUGCCCUCCGAUGGGGAAUAACCCCGCGAAAGCGGGGCUAAUACCGCAUAACAUUCCUUGGACGAUGGUUCGAG